rnacentral:lncRNA from 1 species
CUUUGCUCAAGACAAUUCGAGAUGAACGUUAUAUGCUGGGGAGAGAACUUUGCAUCUGGGGGAUGAAGCUGAAAAACUCAGAUGUUGCAAGCCUAGCCAUACUUCUAGAGCUGCGAGGAUGUACCAUGAACCCAUUAUCUACCCUAGAAAUCAUUAACAGCCAAAUGGACCUGUGGUCUGUGGAGAGACUGAGCAAGUCUCUUCUUUCCAGCAAUUUGCUCUCAAUUAUAUUGGAUUACAACAAGUUUGGAAAUGAGGGAGUUGACAUUCUUAUGGCUGGCCUGGAAAAAAACCAGAAGCUUAAGAUUCUUAGCCUCCGUUAUUGCAAUCUGGGACCAACUGUAGGCUCAAAGCUGGGCUGGGCAAUUAGCCAAAGUGCCAUUUGGUAAGUCCAUCUAUCUAACGGCUAGAAUUAUUUUAGUCAAAGCCUCCGAAAGUUUU